CUGUGGUCGGUCAUGUGGGAGUCCAGCACCCCAACCACCACGCCCCCGCCUGCCCCGAGUGUCCGGGUGAUAGACAUGAAACACCACUUCUCUUGCAGUCAGACAAAUGCUCCACGCAGCGGCUUCGCUCGUGUGGUUCUUUCCUUCCUGGUUGCACUGUCAUCUCUUCAGACCGAGAAUUGAAGACAUGCUGUAUGAUUGCUUACGCAGCGGAAAUGUCCUUCUGCGGGGAUUCUAGAUGUGCAGAGGGCAACCUCAGAGUCAGUUCUUCGUACCUCCCUGGCCUCACGUCUUCCAGUUGCAAAACAGGGAUCCUCACACUGGCCUCCUUUCUUCUUGCAAGUUGGCGAGGAAUCGCAAUAUGGGAGGUGAGAAGCUGGGGAACGGUUAAAUCCAGACAGGAAGACCCGUGCAAACACAGGAAGGCGCUUCCUCUCUCGGGUGGAGGAAACAGAGAAGAGGAAGAGGAGAGCUUAAAUGGGACCAGCAGGACAGCUCAAAGCACAGCCUGGGCAGGGUAUUCCACCUGUCUGUCCAGCGGGAUCCUGGUCACCCUCGCGUGGACAGUGUCACAGCCAGAAUGUCUGUGGACACCGUGUGACAGCCACCCUUUUGAAAGAUAAUUCGAGCUUUGAUCAACCUGGAUUAAGCUCGAGGCCAUCUUUGACAGUAAAUCCAGUCACGACCUGUUAAAUGCCCACGUUCAGAGGAAAAUGAGAUGAAUUCGCAGGUGCCGACCCUCCUCCAUGAGCUGUAGUCUAACCCUAACGGCACGAACUCACCAUGUGACAGCAAAUCGGGACCACUCUGGAGAGGCUGAGUCGGCUCUGACGCGGGCAGUGGGGCAGGAACUUCGGCCGCACUGGCGUGGGGUAGAGGCUGCGGGUUCACGUCCGGCAGGGCUGUUUAUGUCCAGCAGGGAAAUCACUUUCUUUGGUCAGGACAGGUUCACCCCAGGAAGUCAGCAGAGAGGAAGACAGUCCCAUAGGGAGGGCCAACGACUGCCGAGAGGGAGGGGCAGGCAGGCUGGAAGAGCACAGCUACCGGGGAACAGCACUGUACAGAGCCUGAGCCAAGGAACUGCCACGCUGACUUCCUCUCCUUCAGCUGUCUCUGGGAAUUCGCUUCCUCUGGGAGACCUGGGAAGGUAUCCAGUCAGACGCAACCUCACCACCUCGGUGUGUGUAUUAGAAAUCACAUGGCUACGCUAGCGGCUUUCUCUCCCCAAACCUGCCCUGCGUCCGGUGCCUGUCUCGGUGGUGUUUCCAGCAGGAAGACACUAUGCAUCCCACAGUCUUCGCGGGGUCGGGGAGGAACGGUGACUCUUCUACACACCCAUCUCUGGGUCACAGACUGGCGAGACCUGCUGGCCAGAGGCGGGAGCAUGCGCCUCGAUUCUCCAUGUGGUGCCCUCCCUCGCCUUCCUGAUGUGCUCCUUCCACAGCUGCUCUUCCCUGGCCCAGCAGGGACAGUCUCACUCCGGCCCUCACCCCAGCUCCUACGGGGCUCCCCUUGUUUGGCGGCAGAGCACAGGGCUCUCUGUAAGUCAGUAGAAAAUGUGCAACAUGAAAAACGGUGCACAGAUUCCAACAUCGUUUUGUACCCAAAAAAGCUCGUUGGGAUUUCACUCCAUUUUUCCAUGAAGUUUUUUGAAGUCAUCUUGUAAAAGGGAGACCUGGGUUCUGGCAGAUCACGUGGAAAGGAGGAGAGAGAGGCAAGGAGGCUGCAGACGAGGGACGCUGUCUUGUGCACGCAAAGCCAAGGCCACAGACUGCCCGAUGGCCCUGCGUCCACGGGCGGCUCACAGAGAGGAAUUCCAGAGGUGGUCCCUCAGAGCAAGGCGCCCGCCUUCGCAGAGGACGGCAGGCUCGUUCCCUAUGUUCCAGCUUACUCGCGGGAGGAAAGAAGCCACUCUCAAUCUUCAGUGUUCUGACUGGGCACUUUUUCAGUCUUUAAUUUUUAAUGCAAAGUAUAUUUUUUCCUUAGAGAAUUAAAUUCCUCUGUAGCUGCAAAAGGAGUCAGGAUUCAGGUGAGCUUAAUGAUGUGCAUGAGGGAGUCUGGCUACCAGUCCAGGCCAGAACCUGACAGUCUUGGCACUCUGCAACAGUGUAAUGGGGGAAAAAACGAUGGUACUUCCAGAGCAAAUAAAGCUUAAGUUGUGCGUUUAGAAGCAUACACACACACACACACACACUCGCACACACACACACACACACACACACACACACACACACACACACACACACACACA